rnacentral:lncRNA from 1 species
GUUUAGGUCGGGUCGGGAAUUCGAAACACCAAACCAACGCCAAUCUUGAAGGACAUAAAAGAGUAAGUAGGACUAUGUGGAUUAUCGUAUCGGAUGUGUACUAUUCGUUCGUCAACACACGAUGUGGACCAUUCGUUCGUCAACACACAUAAAAGAAGAAUAUUUGAAUAGAAGAAAUCAUAUUAAUUAGGCUAGACAUCUCGGUUCUCGGUCUGUGUUUGGGCCGUGCUAGCAAGACUCAGGUUUGAAAAAGAGUACAUCAAGAUCAGUCAAGUCAUCACUUAUUCGAUUGUUUAUUCAAUUCGCUAGCCAGGUCGAAUAAAUACCAUCUAAAGAAAUACCUUAUAUAUAAGUUCCCUACAUUCUGAGAAAAUAGGCGGUAUAGAGCUCUUUAUUCCACUAGGAGGAACUCGGCUUAUGAAUGACCCUAUCGAUGUGAGUUGGGCUCGCUCCUUUUCUUUCUUUUGGCGUAUUCCUAUUCGUAUGAUCUCUCUGAAGCUUCUCCUAACUAUCUUUUUUUUACUACACUUUAUUUUGACUAAAGAACUCUCUUAUCAUAGUAGGCGCUGAGAGGCGAACCCCAUUCCAAGCAUUCCCUAGAUUAGAUGCCCUAUCUAUUGUUCAUGCCUUCUUUACAGGUUGUGUGGAUCUUCUCCCCUCUCCACUCUAAUUAUGGGAAGUAGGUCUUCCGCUCUAGUUCUUUCGAAUAGAUAGUCCCAGGAUGCUGUAGGUCUAUGAAAAAUAAUCACUUUAGCAGUUCUGUCUGAAAGGAUCAUUUCUGAUUUUAGCCGUUAGGCGAACAGACAGCCAGGAUCAUUAGUUAUCGGCUCGACUCAUGAUGGAAUCGGCAUUUAAUACAAUCCAUAUGUUAAUCUAGGCGUCUUUGUCCUUCUCUUUUUGUGGGCUGCAGAGGUAGAAUCCAGUAUGAAAGGAGAAUUCCGCCCGAAAUCAAACCCAAUGAAAGUUAGGACAUAAUCCACUCCCCUGUUACUUAAUUCUAGACUAAGCUAACUGAGAAACUGGAAUUCUUUAUUGCACCUGCUAGGCUGUCCCUCCUCGAUCCCCGCCUUACUUUCUUUCUUGACUUCUUAUAUUGGUAGGCUCAAUUCCUUGUUUCUAGUAUCAAUAUAAUGAGUAGUGGGUUCCGCCUGAUAUCAGUCCCGAGCUAUAGAGAAUAGUUCAGUUGCGCUUGAGUUACUUGUCUCUGAUCAGUAGUAGUAAAUAACUAGAAUAAGGUUAUGCCUAGAAGAAAGAGAAGCUUUAAAGUCAUCUUUAGAUUAAGGAAUAUAAGACCAAUAGAUAAGGCUUGGACUACUCGUAAGUAAGGCUCCGGACUACUAGGUUUCGCUCUGAUACCCAUUAUUGGAAUUAUUAUCCCUGUGUGUCAGUAAGCCUAUUCUUAUGCAUAUCAUAAGAAGGCCUAUUCUGACUCUUCCACUAAUGAGUUAAUUCUCUUACUUAUUAGUUGUUAUGAAAGUAGAGCGCUAAGAGAAAGAGAUUAGAAGGAACACUUGAACAAGACGUAGUAAAGAGGAAUAGGAACCGGAUAAGAAGACUUCACCACAGAAGUGAGUCCGACACUCUUUAGGUUUAGUCUCGAACCAAUAAUAGGAGGUUAGCCCGAACUCCACACCUAUCUCUUUCUGCCACUACCAACAAAAAGUCUGUCGAUCCUAACUAGAAGUAUUGCUAACAUAACUUAUAUUCUUUUAUUUCACCCAAACCCAGUAAGUUACUAUAAUGCCUUUCAGUCUGUAGGUUCACCUUUCCUAGGCUACCGAUCCUACCUUUCGUUCUCAAUACCCUGUCUUCCACUCUUUCACUAAUGUUUAUUAGCCCGCCGCUAAUACUGAUGAGACCAGUGCUAUUGACUAUCAGACACAACUAACUAUUAGAUAGAAUUCCACUCAAAACUAUUAGUGGCAGCGGUAUGAUGUAGUGGGGCACCCAGGAAUAGACUGAACUUACUGCUAACAAUAAUGGAACCUGUGCUUAUAAUACCUGGGACAAGUAUCGGUUGAUGCUCAGCGUAAGGCUUAUAGCCAAGAGAGAUAGGCGCACAGGCAGUAGCUAAAGAAUAAAGGUAAAGGGAGUCAGACCUAUAGACAGGAAAGUGAUCAUGCGAUAGGGACAGUUCCGCUUGAAAGAAUUAGGCAAGUAGACAGUUUGCUAGUAUAUGGGUAUAUUCCAUAUUAUGAAUGAAAGAAUCAAAGGCAUGAUAGUUAGAAUUUCCUGAAGGCGGGGCACCGGCCAAUAGCCCUAAAUUGGAGAGUUAGAUAGGGCAGUGUCCGGUUGGUAGUUAAGAUCCUUAUCAGUAGUAACAGACUUAAGUGCAAGGUAGUUUGAUUCCCGAGUUCCCCACCAAGUUAUCAUCAAAGACAUAACAGUAAGUUAACAAGUAAAGAAUUCAUUAUGAAAGUGUAUUUCUUGCAGUUGUGUUUGCGGCAGUGGUUGGAUAUCCCUAGUUAUUAGUGAAAGGAUGAGAAGCGCCAGUUCCAUUCACAUAGUUAGGAGUCAAAGAACGAGGGCUAGUAGCAGUAGACCGGAGACAGGAAAGACAGCUUCGAGAUCAGUAGCUAAGGAGUUCAAGUCAGCCGGGUAGGCUCCAGCUAGCAAACAAGGAUCCAGAUCAGUAGUGACAGAGUUCAGGCAAGGAUCCAGAUCAGUAGUGACAGAGUUCAGGCAAGGUUCGAGAGCAGUAGAGUCAGAGUUCAGGCAAGGUUCGAGAGCAGUAGAGUCAGUCCUAUCUCUUAGUUUUAGGUGAGUUCAGCAGUUACAGGAUGAAAGCUACUAGCGCUCUAGUUUGAAGCGAGCAGUAUUAGAAUCAAAGGUGAAAUGACGAGUGAAAUACAGGCAGGGCAGGUCCAAAGGCUGUAGCGAGAGUCUUGUUAGCAUGAGUGCAAUUCCCAGUUUUGAGGUUGGUUCUCAUCAGUAGCGGUUCCAUUCUUAUAGCUAGGAGUGGAAUUCCUUUGAGGCUCUUAGCACCCGAACCCACUUCUUCAACACCCGGGUCCAUUCUUAUACUGACUGGUGGAAUUCUUUAUCGAGAGCAAAAGACUUACUAGUCGAAUUCUUAGUCGAGUGAAGGAGCAAGUCAGAGUUACGAGUGGAAUUAUUAUUGGUAUAUGUUUCAUUUCCCUUAUGAUUAUUAGUAGAAGACCUGUCCCUUGUAUCUAAUUAGAAUCCCGAGUUGCCGACGAAGCCUGUUUUCCCUAAUCUCUCUGGCUAUUGAAACGAAUUCUAUUCUAUAUGAGAUUCUUCAAUUCAAAGUUGGAUCUUUCUUACCCUGCCCUGGCCUUUGCUUUAAAAAGGAAACUCUAUUCUUUAGUGCACUACCGGUAAGUAAACUCUCUUCUCUACCUUUAGUCUAGAGCAAGUACAGUGUGUGGGAGUAGGAACCAUAUCAGAUGCCGAAGCGGGAUAAGGCCCAUACUUAGUUGACAGAGAAAGAGGUAUAGUGGGCAAGAAAGUCAUAAAGAGAGCUCGGGUCAGAUGGCAAGGAAGCACUAACGGAGUUCAAUUACUAAUGGGGGGCCAAGUUACUAAGGGCCAAGUCACUCAGGUGUCUGUAUUGAGUGAAACCCAUUGCUUUUUGGAGUCCUAAUUGAGUCUGUUUCAGGACUUAGCGCAUCAAAGCCUGUACGGGAUCUUGAGUAUGGACCUGAUUGAUCCUGUUCUUGUUCGUGUUACGCGGCAGUCCCUUCUUCUGCUGUUCUGGUUCUCAAGUAAGGGUGUUCUAAAGUAAGGGUAAGGCUCGGAUAGGCUGGUUUACUUAGUUUACUGACUUGCUUUUUUCAUCUGUCUUUGCUUAGUUGACAGAGCUCGGGUCUAUUAGAGCUCGAGUCUGGGUUAACACUUAUUAGAGUGCGGGUCGGGUAGGGAAAAGAUAGUAAUUAAUAACAGAGGCCGGCAAGCAAGGGAACCCUCUUUUCCUUGUAGUAACAGUAUCGGUGGGCAAGGAAUAAGUGUCGUCUCUUUCUAUGCUUUUGCAGUAUACGCUUGCCGGUUACAAGUCUCUUUCUUUUCUGGUUGAAUACCGAGUACCGAGUGGAAUCAGUGAGUGUCUUGGCGGAUAAUUUCAUAUAUCUUUAUUAAGGAAACAAGAAUCAAAGCAGUAAGUCCAAGCCUGAACUAUUCCUUGGGUAGAUCAGAAUUGCACCAGUAAAUCCAAGAAUUGACCUAAGUAGUAACAGAGUGAAACCACAACUAAUCUAUUGUAUGUCCGUCGAGCAUAGAGCAAACAGAGGUGUGUGUUACCCCCAAAGGCAAGAGAACGAGCAAGAGAGGAAGCUUAGGGUAGGGCGCAAAGAGAAAGAAUCAAAGUACGGGCAAGCACAAA